rnacentral:rRNA from 1 species
UGGGGAAUAUUGCGCAAUGGGGGAAACCCUGACGCAGCGACGCCGCGUGGGUGAUGAAGGCCUUCGGGUCGUAAAGCCCUGUCGGGAGGGAAGAAAAAAUCCGGACCUAAUACGUUCGGGAAUUGACGGUACCUCCUAAGGAAGCACCGGCUAACUCCGUGCCAGCAGCCGCGGUAAUACGGAGGGUGCUAGCGUUGUUCGGAUUUACUGGGCGUAAAGCGCGUGUAGGCGGGUCGUUAAGUUGGGGGUGAAAUCCCGAGGCUCAACCUCGGAACUGCCUUCAAAACUGGCGACCUGGACCUAAGUAGAGGCAAGUGGAAUUGCGAGUGUAGAGGUGAAAUUCGUAGAUAUUCGCAGGAACACCAGUGGCGAAGGCGACUUGCUGGACUUAUGGUGACGCUGAGACGCGAAAGCGUGGGGAGCAAACAGGAUUAGAUACCCGCGUAGUCCCUGAGCGGGCUGGCAAGGCGCAU